ACUGAAGAAUCGUUUGGAAAUGGCAUUUAGUCCGGAACGACAUUAUUAUUGUGAUAUAAUGAUUAACUAUAAAAAUGUUAUCAAAGACCUUUAAGGAAACAACUUUAAAGAUCAAUUUGAAUAGAGAUAGUUGAAACUUUUACCGAAAGUCAGUUAUUGAGUUUUAUGAGCAACUAUUAGACUACCAGCUAUUGUAUACAGACUGAUACCAUGCAUGGACUUUAAUUAUUAGAUUUGCAUUUGAUUGGUUGGGAUAGUGACCAAUAUUAGCUGCGGAUUAAAUAAAAAAAAUAAUUGACCAUUUAGUGAUGUAAAUAUAGGCUUUCUAUGUACCUACUUGCAACGGAAAUUUAUUGGUGUAAACAGAUAACAUCCAUGGAUAGGUAUUAUAUUAUUGAAUGAUAAGAAAACAAUAAUUACAAACAACAAAAUGAUUAAAUUAGUAUGCAACGAUAUUAGCCUUUCAAAUGAAUUUGUUUAAUUUUAUUUAUUUGGCGUGUAAUAUUUCAUAUUAAACAUUA